rnacentral:ribozyme from 1 species
UGCCAGCAAUUCUUAUCCCUACCUCCUCGCGGUACUGACCGAGAUACGAGUAACUUUAGGGAAGAUCGGGUAACCAACUGCGGUGGGAACUUUGGUCGUGUGCUGACAGGAAAGG